UACGGAGGGUGCAAGCGUUAUCCGGAUUUAUUGGGUUUAAAGGGUUCGUAGGCGGACCAUUAAGUCAGUGGUGAAAGCCCUCUGCUCAACAGAGGAAUUGCCAUUGAUACUGAUGGUCUUGAGUGUAAGUGAAGUUGGCGGAAUGUGUGGUGUAGCGGUGAAAUGCUUAGAUAUCACACAGAACACCGAUUGCGAAGGCAGCUGGCUAACUUACAACUGACGCUGAGGAACGAAAGUGUGGGGAUCAAACAGG
rnacentral:rRNA from 1 species